UACGGAAGGCAGCAGUGGGGAAUAUUGCACAAUGGGCGAAAGCCUGAUGCAGCUAUGCCGCGUGUAUGAAGAAGGCCUUAGGGUUGUAAAGUACUUUCAUCGGGGAGGAAAAAACAAAACUAAUAAUUUUAUUUCUUGACGUUACCCGAAAAAGAAGCACCGGCUAACUCCGUGCCAGCAGCCGCGGUAAUACGGAGGGUGCUAGCGUUAAUCAGAAUUACUGGGCGUAAAGAGCACGUAGGUGGUUUUUUUAAAGUCAGAUGUGAAAUCCCUGGGCUUAACCUAGGAACUGCAUUUUGAAACUGAAAUACUAGAGUAUCGUAGAGGGAGGUAGAAUUCUAGGUGUAGCGGUGAAAUGCGUAGAUAUCUGGAGGAAUACCUGUGGCGAAAGCGGCCUCCUAAACGAAUACUGACACUGAGGUGCGAAAGCGUGGGGAGCAAACAGGGAUUUAGAUACCCGU
rnacentral:rRNA from 1 species